GAGCAUCUUCAGGGUCGGGUGUGAUUCCCAACCGGCGGUAAUUUCGUUUUUAGGAAUGAAAGAGCCCGCGAGCCUUUCUAAGGCAGAUUUGGUGAAAUGCCAAAGCCGACGGUAAAACCGCUUUAAGUAUAAGAGGUUAAAGUCCGGAUGAAAGAAGAUUUUA
rnacentral:ncRNA from 2 species